rnacentral:misc_RNA from 1 species
AAGUCGUAACAAGGUUUCCGUAGGUGAACCUGCGGAAGGAUCAUUACCAUUAUAAGGGGGUUAGUAGUUUUGCUGAUGAAAAUAAGCAAUUCUAUGCUCGAAACCCCCGGUUUCAUCCUUGUCUUUUUAUGUACCCUAGUUUCCUCGGUGGGGUUGAUAGUAUCAUCCCGCCGAUAGGACACACCAAUAAACCUUUUAAAUGUAAUUGCAGUCAGCAUCUGAAUAAAUAUAUAAUAUUUACAACUUUUAACAACGGAUCUCUUGGUUCUG